AGCGAACGCUGGCGGCAGGCCUAACACAUGCAAGUCGAACGGAUCCUUCGGGAUUAGUGGCGGACGGGUGAGUAACACGUGGGAACGUGCCCUUUGGUUCGGAACAACUCAGGGAAACUUGAGCUAAUACCGGAUGUGCCCUUCGGGGGAAAGAUUUAUCGCCAUUGGAGCGGCCCGCGUCUGAUUAGCUAGUUGGUGAGGUAAAGGCUCACCAAGGCGACGAUCAGUAGCUGGUCUGAGAGGAUGAUCAGCCACAUUGGGACUGAGACACGGCCCAAACUCCUACGGGAGGCAGCAGUGGGGAAUCUUGCGCAAUGGGCGAAAGCCUGACGCAGCCAUGCCGCGUGAAUGAUGAAGGUCUUAGGAUUGUAAAAUUCUUUCACCGGGGACGAUAAUGACGGUACCCGGAGAAGAAGCCCCGGCUAACUUCGUGCCAGCAGCCGCCGCAGUAA
rnacentral:rRNA from 1 species